UGGGGAAUUUUGGACAAUGGGCGAAAGCCUGAUCCAGCAAUGCCGCGUGUGUGAAGAAGGCCUUCGGGUUGUAAAGCACUUUUGUCCGGAAAGAAAUCCUUGGCUCUAAUACAGUCGGGGGAUGACGGUACCGGAAGAAUAAGCACCGGCUAACUACGUGCCAGCAGCCGCGGUAAUACGUAGGGUGCAAGCGUUAAUCGGAAUUACUGGGCGUAAAGCGUGCGCAGGCGGUUUGCUAAGACCGAUGUGAAAUCCCCGGGCUCAACCUGGGAACUGCAUUGGUGACUGGCAGGCUAGAGUAUGGCAGAGGGGGGUAGAAUUCCACGUGUAGCAGUGAAAUGCGUAGAGAUGUAGAGGAAUACCGAUGGCGAAGGCAGCCCCCUGGGCCAAUACUGACGCUCAUGCACGAAAGCGUGGGGAGCAAACAGGAUUAGAUACCCUGGUAGUCCACGCCCUAAAACGAUGUCAACUAGUUGUUGGGGAUUCAUUUCCUUAGUAACGUAGCUAACGCGUGAAGUUGACCGCCUGGGGAGUACGGUCGCAAGAUUAAAACUCAAAUGAAUUGACGGGGUCAUA
rnacentral:rRNA from 1 species